GUUCAGAGCUGGGUUAGGGUUAGGGUUGAGACCGUUCAGAGCUGGGUCAGGGUUAGGGUUGGGACCGUUCAGAGCUGGGUUAUGGUUGGGACCGUUCAGAGCUGGGUUAGGGUUAGUGUCGGGACCGUUCAGAGCUGGGUUAGGGUUAGGACCAUUCAGAGCUGGGUUAGGGUCGGGACCGUUCAGAGCUGGGUUAGGGUUAGGACCGUUCAGAGCUGGGUUAGGGUUGGGACCGUUCAGAGCUGGGUCAGGGUUAGGGUUAGGACUGUUCAGAAAUGGGCGAGGGUUAGGGUUUUUCAAAGCUGGGUCAGGGUUAGUAGAAUAUGUACCAACCCUGCCAGGUCAAUGUUACUUUUGCUGCGUUCAAAACAACUGGGAAUUCGAUAAACCAGAUCUGACUGGGGAGAAAUCGAUUUGAACGGUCAUCCAACUCGGGCCUCUUUCUAGAGCUCCGACUUUCCGACCUGAAGAUCACUGACGUUAUGGUUUGACCUCGUAUUGUUACGAAUUCCCAGUAGUUUUGAACGCGGCAUUAGUCCUAUCACUCUCCAGUGAUGUCAUUUAAACCUGUCUCACUCUCCAGUGAUGUCAUUUUAAACCUGUCUCACUCUCCAGUGAUGUCAUUUUAAACCUGUCUCACUCUCCAAUGAUGUCAUUUAAACCUGUCUCACUCUCCAGUGAUGUCAUUUAAACAUGUCUCACUCUCCAGUGAUGACAUUUUAAACCUGUCUCACUCUCCAGUGAUGUCAUUUAAACCUGUCUCACUCUCCAGUGAUGUCAUUUAAACCUGUCUCAGUCUCCAGUGAUGUCAUUUAAACAGCUGUCUGUCUCACUCUUCAGUCAUAUAGACGGGUUGGUUGUUUAGCUACAAAACUGACACAUGCGUAACUUUGGGCAGUACGGACUGG
rnacentral:lncRNA from 1 species